rnacentral:rRNA from 1 species
GCCUGGCCCUAAAUCUUGAUGCUCGAUAUUACCUGAGCAUCCGCCCGAGAACUACGAGCACAAACGCUUAAAACUCUAAGGACUUGGCGGUGCUCCAAACCCACCUAGAGGAGCCUGUUCUGUAAUCGAUGAUCCACGAUAUUACCUGACCAUUCCUUGCACGAAGCAGCCUAUAUACCGCCGUCGCCAGCCCACCUUUCCUGACAGCCCAACAGUGGACGCAAUAGCCUAACCCGCUAGCAAGACAGGUCAAGGUAUAGCCCACGGAAUGGAAGCAAUGGGCUACAUUUUCUAGACUAGAACAUACGGAUAAGGGUAUGAAACUGCCCUUGGAAGGCGGAUUUAGCAGUAAAGAGAGACCAUUGAGCUCUCUUUAAGCCGGCUCUGGAGCACGU